AUUUAUAUAGUUUAAUAAAAACAUUACACUUUCACUGUAAAAACAAAAUUCUUUAUAUUU
rnacentral:tRNA from 1 species